AAGCAAUUUGCUCAUAGCCAUAGCUUUCUUGUGAAAGUAGGAUAUUAACCCAGGUGUCUUGGUGCUGGAGAACAGAACUGGCCAGAGUCCAUCCUGUCUCCCACCGGCAUCCCAUUACGAAAUGAACACAGAAAAGGCAGGUCUGCAAUGCCAACAUCUAGUAUCUAUCCCAAAGACCAGGGAGAAAGGAAGGAAAGAUUCUGGUUCUGUCCUCUUCCCCAAGGCAAGGCUGGCUGCCCUACCAACAGAGGCAAAGAGAAGAGUGUGCAAGGCUGGCUGCCCUCCCAACAGAGGCAAAGAGGAGUGUGUGUUGAAAUAUCCAUUGAAUCCCUGAGACAACUGGAUCCUGGCCCAUUGAAUCAUAAACUCAUUAUGGAGGCUGGGAAGACCUAGAAUGUGGCAUCACUAUUUGCUGAAAUUUUUAAUAUAAUGCCUCUUAGCCUGGUUUGGAGAAAACGUCACAGAGAGGCACCAUUUGUUGUGGUUUUACAUGAAAAUUUUCUGACCCUGAACCUGGUUUGAUGGAAAUCAUUUGCUGAGGUUAUUUAGAAAAUUGUUACCUCAAAAAUGACCUAGGGGUCCUUAGAAUAAUAACACACAGAAGAAUAGCCUCAUUUUUCUGUUGGGCCCAGGAAACCAUGCCGAUUACCGACCGAGCUCUCAAUGGAAAAAUGCAGUCGGCGUGAACCACGCACGAACACAGCAGAGAAAGAAGAAAACACACACCACGAGGAACCCUAAUAGGACAAUACAUUAUAAGCCUCAUGGUACAUCCACUUGGUGUGCUGGGAGAGUCAGGAUGAGGACCUGAGAAGAACAGCAGCUUGAACCUGACUUCAUUUAACAGCCCACUGCCCUCUUGCCAAGAACCCAUCACAGACCUUCCCAGAAGAGAGGGAUGAGCCUCACCUAUGAAUAAGUCCUCAGAAACUCAAAUUUGAUUCUAAUGGAUUGUUUUCUCAGAAAGACUGAGCAUGUCCCCCCACAUCUCUGUCAUUUCCCACAGUAGUAACCUCUGCAGAUGCCACAUAGAAAACAAAACAAAACAAAAAAACAUGAGGUUGGUGGGCAGAUAGGCAGGGUAUAAACAAACAGCCUUGUAACCCAGAAGCUGUGUGAUAUACAGUAAACUUCACAACACUGAAAAGAUGUCCUAUCUGUUAAAAUGGGGUAAUAACAACUACCCGAAUGUUUAGGAAUAGAACUUCAAUAAAUGAUACAUUUUAUAGUACAGCAGACCAUCCUGUAAAGGUUUCAUCCUUCACUGUGGUGAUAAAUAUCCCAAACCACAUUGAAAAGCAUUGCAUCUACAUUUAUCUACACUGUAACUGUACUGUAAAUCAUGGGGGAGGGGAGAAUCAUAAAAACACCACCUGUCACCGUGUCAUUAAAGCAAGUUGGAAGUGAUACUUACAGAAACACAGCAAGAGCACCCCCAGUCACACAGUUCAAUCUCUUAGCAAGCGUUUUCUUUCUAGCCCAGUGGUUCUCAGUUUGGAAUUUUUGGCACUGCCUAGAGAUAGUUUUGUUGUUAAAACUGAGAAAAGAGCCGGGCGUGGUGGCACACGCCUUUAAUCCCAGCACUCAGGAGGCAGAGGCAGG
rnacentral:lncRNA from 1 species